GAGGAGUGUGAAUGAAGGAGAGGGGAGAGAGCGUGAGAGUGAAAGGUGAACUGGGCUAAGAGUGAAGCCUUCGCCACAGAAGAACCUGUGGUCUGUGGAGCGAGACUGGACGUCUGUGGCAGCAAAGUACCGGGUCUGUCGGACGCGCUGUGCAGGUCCGGGACAGUGACCCUAAGGCAUCUGGUGGAGGUGGCUGGACCAAACCUCGACAACGUCAGAGAUGUUGGUUUGCUGCUCGGAGUCCGGUCUGCCAGGUUGUUACAGCGAUACUUGGACUUGGUGAGAGAGAGGAUGACAGCUGGAGAGAGGCGUCUGUUGCAGCUGUUUUUUUCGAGAGAAAACCCACCAGACC